rnacentral:rRNA from 1 species
UUCUACAGCCAUACCACCCUGAAUACGCCCAAUCUCGGAAGCUAAGCAGGGUCAGGCCUGGUUAGUACUUGGAUGGGAGAAU